rnacentral:rRNA from 1 species
GGUUAAGUUAGAAAGGGCGCACGGUGGAUGCCUUGGCACUAGGAGCCGAAGAAGGACGGGACUAACACCGAUAUGCUUUGGGGAGCUGUACGUAAGCGUUGAUCCAGAGAUUUCCGAAUGGGGGAACCCACUAUCUUUAGUCGGAUAGUAUCCUUACGUGAAUACAUAGCGUGAGGAAGGCAGACCCAGGGAACUGAAACAUCUAAGUACCUGGAGGAAGAGAAAGAAAAAUCGAUUUCCUGAGUAGCGGCGAGCGAAACGGAAAGAGCCCAAACCAAGAAGCUUGCUUCUUGGGGUUGUAGGACACUCUAUACGGAGUUACAAAAGAAAGUUAUAAAUGAAGCGGUCUGGAAAGGCCCGCCAAAGACGGUAACAGCCCGGUAGUUGAAAUGGCUUUCCCUCCAGAGUGGAUCCUGAGUACGGCGGAACACGUGAAAUUCCGUCGGAAUCCGGGAGGACCAUCUCCCAAGGCUAAAUACUCCCUAGUGACCGAUAGUGAACCAGUACCGUGAGGGAAAGGUGAAAAGCACCCCGGAAGGGGAGUGAAACAGUUCCUGAAACCGUGUGCCUACAAGUAGUUAGAGCCCGUUAAUGGGUGAUAGCGUGCCUUUUGUAGAAUGAACCGGCGAGUUACGAUUUGUUGCAAGGUUAAGCGGAAAAAGCGGAGCCGUAGCGAAAGCGAGUCUGAAUAGGGCGCAUAAGUAACAGGUCGUAGACCCGAAACCAGGUGAUCUACCCAUGUCCAGGAUGAAGGUAAGGUAAUACUUACUGGAGGUCCGAACCCACGCACGUUGAAAAGUGCGGGGAUGAGGUGUGGGUAGCGGAGAAAUUCCAAUCGAACUUGGAGAUAGCUGGUUCUCUCCGAAAUAGCUUUAGGGCUAGCCUCGAGGUAAAGAGUCAUGGAGGUAGAGCACUGUUUGGACUAGGGGCCCUUCUCGGGUUACCGAAUUCAGAUAAACUCCGAAUGCCAUGUACUUAUACUCGGGAGUCAGACUGCGAGUGAUAAGAUCCGUAGUCGAAAGGGAAACAGCCCAGACCACCAGUUAAGGUCCCCAAAUAUAUGUUAAGUGGAAAAGGAUGUGGGGUUGCUUAGACAACCAGGAUGUUGGCUUAGAAGCAGCCACCAUUGAAAGAGUGCGUAAUAGCUCACUGGUCGAGUGACCCCGCGCCGAAAAUGUACCGGGGCUAAACAUAUUACCGAAACUGUGGAUGAACCUCUUUAGAGGUUCGUGGUAGGAGAGCGUUCUAAGGGCGGUGAAGUCAGACCGGAAGGACUGGUGGAGCGCUUAGAAGUGAGAAUGCCGGUAUGAGUAGCGAAAGAAGGGUGAGAAUCCCUUCCACCGAAUAUCUAAGGUUUCCUGAGGAAGGCUCGUCCGCUCAGGGUUAGUCGGGACCUAAGCCGAGGCCGAUAGGCGUAGGCGAUGGACAACAGGUAGAGAUUCCUGUACCAGUGCUAAUUGUUUAACCGAUGGGGUGACACAGAAGGAUAGGGAAUCGCACGAAUGGAAAUGUGCGUCCAAGCAGUGAGUGUGAGAAGUAGGCAAAUCCGCUUCUCGCGAAGCAUGAGCUGUGAUGGGGAAGGAAAUUAAG